rnacentral:sRNA from 1 species
UUUUUUUGUUGUUAUUUAGUGAUAAGAAGAAUGUGUUAAAAUGUAUUUAACUUUUUUUUGCUUGUUAUUUAUUUAUUUUUGUUGAACGGUUUAGAUUGAAGAAAAUUAAUUUUAUUGAACGGUUUAGAUUUAAUCGGAUUAUAUAAAGUUUAGGAGAUUGUUAAGACCAAAUUACCCUUAAUGAUUUUGAAUAGCAAAGAACAAAAUCCAAAAUUAAAAUCAAAAUUGAGGCCAAAUUAGACAAAAUUUCAGUUUGUACUUUCCUUUUAAUAAUAAGAGGAUACUUUCUUGUGGAAGUGCCCAGAAUUAAAAUAAAGUAUUUGU